GAUGAACGCUGGCGGCGUGGCCUAAUACAUGCAAGUCGAGCGGUAAGGCUCUGCACAGGUUACUUGUACGAGAAUUAAAUUUCUUACGUUAUCUCUCUGGCUGAGAGGAUGAUAAAAGUCGAGUAAUGUGUGUAGAGUACACGAGCGGCGGACGGCUGAGUAACGCGUAGGAACAUACCCCAAAGUGAGGGAUAAGCAUC
rnacentral:rRNA from 1 species